rnacentral:rRNA from 1 species
CACGUAGGGCGCAAGCGUUGUCCGGAAUUAUUGGGCGUAAAGAGCUCGUAGGUGGUUUGUUACGUCUGCUGUGAAAACCUAGGGCUUAACCCUGGGCUUGCAGUGGAUACGGGCAGACUAGAGGUAGGUAGGGGAGAAUGGAAUUCCUGGUGUAGCGGCGAAAUGCGCAGAUAUCAGGAGGAACACCGAUGGCGAAGGCAGGUCUCUGGGCCACUACUGACGCUGAGAAGCGAAAGCAUGGGGAGCGAACAGG